AUGAACGCUGGCGGCGUGCCUAAUACAUGCAAGUCGAGCGAACAGACGAGGAGCUUGCUCCUCUGACGUUAGCGGCGGACGGGUGAGUAACACGUGGAUAACCUACCUAUAAGACUGGGAUAACUUCGGGAAACCGGAGCUAAUACCGGAUAAUAUAUUGAACCGCAUGGUUCAAUAGUGAAAGACGGUUUUGCUGUCACUUAUAGAUGGAUCCGCGCCGCAUUAGCUAGUUGGUAAGGUAACGGCUUACCAAGGCAACGAUGCGUAGCCGACCUGAGAGGGUGAUCGGCCACACUGGAACUGAGACACGGUCCAGACUCCUUCGGGAGGCAGCAGUAGGGAAUCUUCCGCAAUGGGCGAAAGCUUGACGGAGCAACGCCGCGUGAGUGAUGAAGGUCUUCGGAUCGUAAAACUCUGUUAUUAGGGAAGAACAAAUGUGUAAGUAACUAUGCACGUCUUGACGGUACCUAAUCAGAAAGCCACGGCUAACUACGUG
rnacentral:rRNA from 1 species